GACAGGGGGGGCGAGCGUUAUCCAUCAUUAAUUGGCGUAAAGGGCACGUAGAUGUUCAUAACUAUCGGAUAUAAAAAUCAAGCUGUAAGGUUUGAAUUCAUUUGUCAUAUUAUAAAUCUGAGUUAAACUCAAGUUAUAGGAAUUUUUAAUGGAGAGAUAAAAUCCGUAGAUAUUAAAAGGAACACCAAAUGCGAAAGCAUAUAGCUAGACUUAACUGACAUUAAGGUGCGAAGGUAUGGGUAGCAAACAGG
rnacentral:rRNA from 1 species